rnacentral:lncRNA from 1 species
GUCGUAAUUGUAAUUAAGUUUCUUUAAGUAUGCUAUUUUAUUACCUGGAGACUGAAUUAUGACAUUUGAAAAUUAGGUCGCCUAGUUUGAGUUUUUCUUUUUAUUAACUAAAAAAGAAAUUAUAACUAAAUUGCUUAUUGUUGUCAAUUUCAAUUUCAUAUAUUUUUCUCGUAUUAGGAUUUUUGGGAGUCUUUAGUAUUCAUAUUCCAGUUUCUUCUUCAGUUGUUGAUAGUCAUUUUUGUUUUUUGUUCAUCUGUGUAGGAAUUUAUAUCAUUAACCUUGGAAAGCUUAUGAUGGCCGCAAGGGUUAUUGUUACCAUUGAGAAUCUCAAGACAUCAUCGUUCAGUCUGCCAGACCAUAUGGUCAGAGAGCUGUCUUGAAGUUCGCACAGCACAGUAGUGCUCAUGCAGUUGCUGGUCGUCAUACUCCUGGAACAUUCACCAACCAGCUUCAGACUUCAUUCAGUGAGCCACGCAUUCUGAUCCAUGCAGACCCGAGAAUUGAUCAUCAAGUCAGCACUCAAGUAUACCUGGUGCAAUGCUCUUUGGAUUAAUCUCAAAUUAUUGAUUGGAAUGUGGGAUUGCUUUUGUUAUGUUAUCUUCUCUGCAGCCUAUUAAUGAAGCUGCACUUUCUAGCAUCCCCGCCAUUGAUUUCUGUGACAUGAUUUCCCAAUGAAGUAUGAUGUUGAUAUUGGCAUCCCUACCAACAAGGGAAAGCACAACAGCGGUUGUCUUUUCUGGCUCUUGGAAAGGAUGGCUGCAAAUGUGUGGUGACAUUGCUCCCAGCCACAAGGGGAAGCACAACAUUGGUUUUGUGGAACUCUUAAGUUCGCUUCUCCCUUUUCUUAUUAUGCCUUGUUUGAGCCCCAUUUUUUCAACCAAAAUAUAUUUUUUAACAGUGAUUUAACAUCAUUUCAACCACAUAUUCUUUAAUAAAAUAAUAUAAUAUGCAAAUAAAAAACUUUUUCUUAUUUUUUAACCACACAUUUCCAUCAUUACACUAUUCAAAAAUUCAUUUUCUUCACAACAAUGGGGCUCAAACAAUGGCAUUGGAUACGCGAUAAAUUUUUUUAAUGCUUUGACAAAUCGUAGGAUUCAACCUUUAUUAUUAUUAUUAUUUGCUACAUGCAAAAGAUAUGGUUUAUCAAAAUGUAAUCUGUGUAACUUUUUUAAUAUGUCAUUCUUUUUAAAUUUCC